AUGCGUCUAAUCAACAAAACUUUUCUUAUUCGUCUUUUUCUAUCUUCCCACUCAUCUCCACUAUACCCCUCGUCUUCUAAUUCCUUCCAUUCGACCAAAGAAUUCUCUAUAAUAAUUCGCAAAUCCAAAUCUGCUAAGUGUUCUCUAAUAGCACCUGCUCCUGUCGCAAUUUCCCGAUUUCGAAAUGUUGCAAAGCCUGGGGUAGAAAAAAGGGAGAAAUGCUGUGGUUACAGGAUGAAAUUUCCUCUUCGAAUAAACCUCGUAAUCGUAAAAAAGUGGGUUUUUUAG
rnacentral:rRNA from 1 species